GCGGAGGAAAAGAAACCAACAGGGAUUGCCCCAGUAACGGCGAGUGAAGCGGCAACAGCUCAAAUUUGAAAUCUGGCCCCUAGGGUCCGAGUUGUAAUUUGUAGAGGAUGCUUUUGGUGAGGUGCCGCCCGAGUUCCCUGGAACGGGACGCCGCAGAGGGUGAGAGCCCCGUCUGGCUGGCCACCGAGCCUCUGUAAAGCUCCUUCGACGAGUCGAGUAGUUUGGGAAUGCUGCUCAAAAUGGGAGGUAUAUGUCUUCUAAAGCUAAAUAUUGGCCAGAGACCGAUAGCGCACAAGUAGAGUGAUCGAAAGAUGAAAAGCACCUUGAAAAGAGGGUUAAACAGUACGUGAAAUUGUUGAAAGGGAAGCGCUUGUGACCAGACUUGGGCGCGGCGAAUCAUCCGGGGUUCUCUCCGGUGCACUUCGCCGUGUUCAGGCCAGCAUCAGUUCGGCGCGGGGGAAAAAGGCUUCGGGAACGUGGCUGCUCCGGCAGUGUUAUAGCCCGUUGCAUAAUACCCUGCGCUGGACUGAGGAC
rnacentral:rRNA from 1 species